rnacentral:rRNA from 1 species
GCCUGUUUUACAAAAACAUGUCUUUUUGUAUUUAAUUUAAAGUCUAAUCUGCCCACUGAUUUUUAAUUAAAGGGCUGCAGUAAUUUGACUGUACAAAGGUAGCAUAAUCAUUAGUCUUUUAAUUGAAGACUUGUAUGAAAGAUUUGAUGAGAUAUAAACUGUCUCUUUAUUACAAUUAAAAUUUAAUUUUUUAGUUAAAAAGCUAAAAUAUUUUUAAAAGACGAGAAGACCCUAUAGAGUUUUAUAGUUUUUAUUAUAAAAUAUUUAUAUAAAAUUUUAAUGUUAUAUUAUAAAAAUUAUUUUGUUGGGGAGAUAAAAAAAUUAAAUAAACUUUUUUAAAUAUUUUCAUGAAUAAUUGAGUAAUUGAUCCAUAUUUAUUGAUUAAAAGAAAAAAUUACCUUAGGGAUAACAGCGUAAUAUUUUUUUUUAGUACAAAUAAGAAAAAAAGUUUGCGACCUCGAUGUUGGAUUAAGAUAAAAUUUAAAUGUAAAAGUUUAAAAUUUUGAUCUGUUCGAUCAUUAAAAUCUUACAUGAUCUGA